GCGAGCUCCCCGGAAGCUCCCACCUGAGCGGCGCAUCCUCAGGGCCUGGGCCUGGCCUCCUUGCCUGUGAGAUGGCACUGUGACGGUGCCCACCUCGUGGGGUGUGUGAGGGCCGAGUGAAAUCGUGCAUUUGCGGUAAGAAAGUGCUUAUCACGGUGCCCAGUCCUAAUAUGGGCUGCCAGCCUAAGUACAGAGUCCCAAUCCCAGCCCAAAGGCCAGUUUCCAGGUGAACCCUUGUCGGGGAGACCACCAGACGGAACAGUCCCAGUCUACACUCCUGCACCGAGCAGGGGACAGUGUGGACCGCAGAGAGGUCCGAAGUCCCUUUAGAAUAAGGAUGGUGCUUCAGGGUUGUUAAAAGGAUUAAAUGAGAUGAUAUCUAAAGGGAUUAGCACAGUGGCUGGUGCUAAAAUAAAUCAUUUUCUCUACUGCCACUGCUCUUACAACCAGACGCCUGGAACAGCCUGCUGGUUCGUCUCCUCAUUUGUAAGCUGGAGUUAGUAGGUGUGUUGUGAAGGUUGAGAGAAUAUGCAUAGGCAGAACCUGGCGUUUAAUAUUUGGGAAGUGGCAGCAAUUCUUUCUUCAUUAAUCUACAAGCUGCACUGUGGUAGGCACAUACCCUUAGCACCGAUUCUUAUAAGUGCAGGUAAGAGAGAGAGAAGAUAUAUUGUGUAAGUCGAAGGAGCCAGCCGUGUCCAGGCCACCGCAAAACCUCGACAGUACUGUACCAGGGCCCUCUUCAGUGAAUGAAUCUCCUCUUUGGCCUGUUUGCUGUCUGUUUGCAUUUGCUGCACCCAUCAGUUCCCAAACCUGGUCUCUAAAGUCAGGAGCUCAAGGAAGCUUGUCCCAAUCCUAGAAAACAAGUACAGCACACACCAACAGCAGCAUCCCUAAAAGCCAGCCCUACUGGCAAUGCGGGCCCUGCAACCCGUAGGUAAGUGGGACACUCUAAGCUUCUUGGAAACAGCUAACUCAGGGCCUGAUUAGCUUACUCCCGCCUCCUGUCUUCAGGAAAUCAGACUGUGUAAAAUAAGAGAGAAAAGAAAAUUGACAUAAGUCUAUUCCACUGUCUAAUGAAAUGUGUUUCACUUGUGUUUAAAGUGAAUUGUGGGCUGGCGUGGUGGCUCAUUUGCCUAUAAUCCCAACACUUUAGGAGGCCAAGGCAGGCAGAUGGCUUGAGCUCAGAAGUUUGAAAUCAGCCUGGCAACAUGCAAAAACCCCAUCUCUACAAAAAAUAUAAAAAUUAGCAGGAUGUGGUGGCGCAUGCCUGUAGUCCCAGUUACUCUGGAGGCUGAGGUGGGAGGAUGGCUUGAGCCUGGCAGGUCGAGGCUGCAGUGAGCUGUAAUCAUGCCAGUGCACUCCAGCCUGGGUGACAGUCAGGUCCUGUCUCAAAAAAAAAAAAGUGAAUUGUAGUACCAGCUACAUUUGUAGAGCCCUUUCUCUUUACAGUCAUGGUGCUAAAUUCUCUGAUCUCAUUUAAUCCUCCCAACCACCCUCACAAUGCUGUGUCCAUUUUACAUAUUGGAAAGCUAAGACUCAGGUUAAGAGAGACUUGUUGAAGGUCACAGCUAGUAAGCUGCAGAGAACCAGAAAGUGAAUCUGGGUUGAUCUUGACUCUAAACAGUUUGCUUUUAACAACUAUACUCCUUUGAACAUAUUUACCCUAUUUUCUUCAUUAAGUAAAAUGUUUUCUGUAUCUUAAUUUUCAGAACCUCUAAUACAACAUUUUGCAGAACGUAUUUUCUAAGUAUCCCCGAUCCCCGCAAUCCAGGCUGCCUUCUGUAACCUUUUAGUCAUUGCAAACACAUAGUAGAUGCAUGCUGAAUUUGUGAGCUUGGCACCACACAUGACAGGCUUUGGUUAGGGAAUUCAGCUGCAAGCAACCAAACCCUCAGAGCCAAAGCCAGGGGUGCUAGGACCUCUGGCCCUGCAGUGGCCCUGAUAUGGCCUUUGUGUCCUGCCUCAGAGGCCUUUCUAUCCCCACAGUUACUGGGACAAAAUGUCCUAUGCUUUCACCCUUAUGUGGCUCCAGAUGUAGGAUUUAAUUUUUUAGAAAUCUGCAAUACUGCAGCAGAAAUGUAGUUAUGAGUCAGGGAUGUGUAUGUGUGUGUGUCUGUGUGUGAAAGCCAGUCUCUCAGCACCAGCUAAAAAUGUGAAGCAGCAAGUCUGUGCUGGGAAUUGAGGACACCAUAUGCUUGCAUUUCUAGGUCUUCCUAAGAGUUAUAUAACUGCCCCUAAAGCCAGGGGGCAGGAGCAGGGCCAGCCGUGGGAGACGUUUCCAAAGAGGAAUGCUGAGGAAGGACUGACCUUGAGGAGACAGGGAGUUUGCCAGGCUGUGGAAUGUUCCCAGCCUUGGGGCUUAAACAAAAACUGUAUUCAGAGGGUGAGUGCUCUGUUGAGAACAAACCCUAUCUGUCUCCUGCUUUGUCUCCGGAGCUUAUCAAGGUGAGCCCUUUCUCUGCAGGUUCUGGAUAUUGAAUUUAGAGGUGGGCACAGCUGCCAGAGCAAGGCCCUAGUAAUCCUCCCAGCCAUCUCUAAUUAGCCGACUUCAGGGCCCUCCCCCCCCCCAACCCUUCUGUGUCCUGAGGGUCAGGCAGAGGGGAGAUAAGAGCUCUCAUCUAUUCAUAGAAUAAGGUUGCAGAAAGGCACCCUGGGAGGAGAGCUGUGGGAGGGAACACAACCAAUCAACAAAGGUUUAUCAAGGGCUCACUCUGUGGUCACACUUGGGGGAGGGAGGUAUCUGAUUGGCCCCAUCCUGCUGAGGGCCUCUGUACAGUAUUCUUUCCUAGAAAACACCCUCCCCACCAUCCUCGCUCCCCACUGCAGAUCUUACUUGACUAAAGCCCAUUAUUCUUACAGGCCUCAGUUCAGAGGCCUGAGACCUAGAGCAAUGUUUUUCAAACUGUGGGUCAUGACCCAUUAGUAGCUUGUGUAAUUAAUUUAGUAGGUUACAUUGAGCAUUACCGUCCCCCACACCCUCCAGAAAAACAAAGACAAAAAGAUUAAAGGAAAUAGAAAAGAGGCUAUCUGAGCACAUUAGACACCAUGAAGUUAAGUGCUGUUUGUUAUGUGGAUGCGGGAUCAUGAUAUAAAAAGCCAAAUUCUUACUGGUGAUUGCGAUUAAAAAAAAAAAAAAGAUUCAAAAACCCCUGGCUUAGAGGCUGCAUCUGUCCAUAUCCUUCUCACUGCAAGUGUCAGAAAUCCUGGCUCAAUCUAACUUAGAUGAGGAGGACAUUUAUUAUCUCACUUAAAGGGAAGACUAGAGGUGAUGCAGGCCCCAAGGUGGUUAAUACAGUGGCUUAACUCUGCCACCAACAGUACCAUGCCUUCAUGGUGGGUUUUAUCCUCAAACUGGUAGUAAGAUGGUUACAGAAGCUCCAUGUCAUAUCCAGAGAACACUCAGCGGGAGGAGAGACAGAGACUAGAUCUUCUUGUGUCUCUGAGGAGUGAAGAAAUUUUUCUUGGAAGCCCUCUGGCUGAAUUCACUAUGUUGUAGAGAAUUGGUCACAACUGUAUUCCUAAAUCCAUCACUGGCAAGGGGGUAUAGGAGUCUCAUGAGUAGAUGAGACUGAGCAGGAGAUCCCCCUGGAGCUGAAGGUGGGAGAGAAAGGCGGAUACAAAAGUGAUCAAAAAGUAGGACCAAAUGACAGAAUGGGAAAAGAUGCUUGCAGUGUCUAAAACUGACUAAUAUCUAGAAUACACAAGGAAUUCCUACAAAUCAGGAAAAAGACAGCAACCCCAUAGAAAAAUGAGUAAAAGAUAUGAACAUGCCAUUUAUGGAAGAAUUAACCCUAAAAUCUUACAAAAUAUGAUAAAAUGCUCAAAAU
rnacentral:lncRNA from 1 species